rnacentral:rRNA from 1 species
GUUGACCUCAAAUCAGGUAGGACGACCCGCUGAACUUAAGCAUAUCAAUAAGCGGAGGAAAAGAAACCAACAGGGAUUGCCUUAGUAACGGCGAGUGAAGCGGCAACAGCUCAAAUUUGAAAUCGCGCAAGCGAGUUGUAAUUUGCAGAGGAUGCUUUGGGUACAGUGUUUUCCGAGUUCCUGGAACGGGACGCCGGAGGGGUGAGAGCCCCGUACGUCUAACACUAA